AUUUCGCACAGUGCUACUGAUUUCGCACUUUUGCUGUCGCUGGUGGUCAUGGCCGUUGCUUUCUAUCGUCACAGAUUUUUUGUUCAUAUUAUUUCAAAACCGUCUUGCCAAAUAUUACGAAGUUUAAUCUUUUCCUUUUGGCAAGUUACCCGCCCUGUUCUUUCUUCCACGUUGAUUAUCAUUUAUCUGCGAGUGUAGUUGGCUGUUACGGGGAAUUGCUGACUGCGUUUGUGGAAAUUCGUACAUUAACCCCAGCAUUGGUUCGCAAGGCAACUAUCUGGGCAAAAAGGAAACAGACGAGGCAACUACUGAUCCAGGCUCCAUGGAGUGAUUGUAAUUGGAGUCGAAGGCUGAGGGAGGCGGCUUCAUAAACGAUUGCGUGCACUGCUAAAAUCUUCAGCUGGUGCAGACAAGACUGGUUGUUGUCUGCCUGGAGCUGCCAGCACACAGCCAGAUCUAGUCAGUGAUGAGCCCAGUGUUUGUCGCCAUGUUGCGUUUCUUGCAUGUCAUUUCGUAACAUGGCGGCAAACACUGGGCUUCUUACUGACAUGUUGCAAAUCACCAUGCGAGAAGUGUGCAUCUACUAGAUGGAGGUAAGAGACAUGUGAGAAGUUCUCUUACAAUAAGUGUGAAAGUUUCUUUCCUUACCAUUCCCUGCAUCAUGCUUGGGUGACAUUGUGAACUUAAAAAAGUCCUAAAGACAGUACUUGGAGUAGAUAGGGAUUUGGUGUUAAUGGAAAAUGCUGAAGUAAAAUAAUUACAGCUUCUUGGCAGGUUAUUCUUGAUUACUCUGUCACAGUAUUCGUACAUGCAACACAAAGUUACACUCUUCAGUAGUAGUUCACCAGUACAUCUAAUUAGUACCUAUACAUCUAAGAAACCUGUCAGGACUAUAGAAGCAGUUCUUAACUGUUUUCAUUUUUACAACUGCACCCUUUGGUGAUAAUUAAAAAGUUCAUGUGUUUCAGUAGUUAUAGUUAAAUGGUAAUGUGAAAGAUAAUUUAAGAAACUAAAUAGUUUAGUCAGUCACACUAUUUUUUAGGGCUAAUAAAUCUUUGUAGAAAAUGAUUGUAUUGUUUUUUGGGUCUAAUAAAUCUUUGUACAAAAUGA